rnacentral:lncRNA from 1 species
UGUGCCUAUAGGAAGAAUGCUUUGUAGGAGAAUAUGACAAUCAUGGGUUUUUAGUCCCAUAAUCUUCUUUUCCUCAAUACUGACACAUCGAGAUAUGUUAGAUGCAUAUCCAUCUGAAAAUUUUAUCCCUUUAAAAAAUUCAUAGAAACUCUUCGUUGGUGCAGAAUUCCAUCGAUGCUGGAUGAAGCUGGAGUCGAGGGGAUCACGGCCGC